CCUGCUUUAUCCUUCCAGUAGUCAUAUGCUUGUCUCAAAGAUUAAGACAUGCAUGUGUAAGGAUGAACAAAUUCAGACUGUGAAACUUUGAAUGGCUCAUUAAAUCAGUUAUAGUUUGUUUGACAGUAUCUACUACUCGGAUAACCGUUGUAAUUCAAGAGCUAAUACAUACAACAAACCCCAACUUCCGGAAGGAUACAUUUAUAUGAUAAAAGGUCAACGCGGGCUCUGCCCGUUGCUGCGAUGAUUCAUGAUAACUGAACGGAUUGCCUGGCCAUUGUGCCGGCGAUGCACCAUUCAAAUUUCUAUCCUAUUAAGUUUUGAUGGUUGGAUAGUGGCCUACCAUGGUGGUGACGGGUGGCGGAGAAAUAGGGUUCAAUUUUGGAAAGGGAGCCUGAGAAACGGCUACCACAUUCAAGGAAGGCAGCAGGCGCGCAAAUUACCCAAUCCUGACACGGGGAGGUAGUGACAAUAAAUAACAAUACCAGGCUCAAUGAGUCUGGUAAUUGGAAUGAGUACAAUCUAAAUCCCUUAACGAGGAUCCAUUGGAGAGAGAGUCUGGUGCCAGCAACUGCGGUAAUUCCAGCACUAAUAGCGUAUAUUUAAGUUGUUGCUGUUAUAAAGCUCAAAGUUGGACUUUGGGAUUGGCCGACCGGUCUGCCUAUGGUGUGCAUUAGUCAUCUCAUCCCUUCUGUCGGUGAUGCGCUCCUGGCAUUAACUGGUCGGGUCGUGCCUCCGCCACUGUUACUUUGAAGAAAUUAGAGUGCUUAAAGCAAGCCUACGUGCUGCAUGCAUUAGCAUGGGAUAACAUUAUAGGAUUUCGAUCCCAUUACGUUGGCCUUCGGGAUCGGAGUAAUGAUUAACAGGGAUAGUCGGGGGCAUUCGUAUUACAUAGUCAGAGGUGAAAUUAUUUGAUUUAUGAAAUACGAACAACUGCGAAAGCAUUUUCCCAAGAUGUUUUCAUUAAUCAAGAACGAAAAUCUAUUUCAUUUUGGACAAUUUUUCUAACGUCCCCACGUUAUUUUUAUAUGUUUUUCAAUCUUUUAUUUAAUAUACUUAAAUUUAAAUAUUAUAUACCUUUACGUUAUACAUACAAAUAUGCACUCGAUUUUUGGUUUAAGGUUAGUUCAUGCGCUGGAAAUAUUUUCCUAAUGUUUUUAUAUUUUUAUAAAUAUUUUUCCUAUUUUCGAAUUAUUUUUACAUAGUUUUUGAAUUUUCAAAAAUGAUAUUUGAAAAAAAAUAUUUUCUUAAUGAAUCCACGGCGACCGCCGACGGCCGACGUGAGCGAAGCCCGUGCAUAAUCCUCGACAUGCCUUCAUCUUCUCUGCCCCCCAAGGGCAGUCUAUCGUGUCAAGCGGGACUUGCUUCAGCGUUGCAACGUCCGCAUGGGCAGCAACGUACGACAUCUAUUGCUGGGCGUUGGAGCNCGGCGUGGGUGGCGUCGUGCAUAAGCCUCGACGUGCCUUCAUCUCCUCUGCUCCCCCCAAGGGCAUGCUAUCGUGUCAAGCAGGACUUGCUUCAGCCUUGGAACGUUUACAUGGGCAGCAGCGCACGGUAUCUAUUGCUAGGCGCUGGGACCAGUGCUGGGCGUGCAUCGACGGAGCAUUUGGACACACGGCACGUGAGUUAUGUUCUGUAUGUGCGGUUAGGUUGGUGCCCUGCUCGAGCAGCAACGUCCUGACCCACCUACCAUCUCAGUUGUGAGGCAAGCGCAAUUUAGGUUUGCUGAAAUUCGG
rnacentral:rRNA from 1 species